UACAGAGGGUGCAAGCGUUGUUCGGAAUUAUUGGGCGUAAAGCGCGCGCAGGCGGUCCUUUAAGUCUGAUGUGAAAGCCCACGGCUCAACCGUGGAGGGUCAUUGGAAACUGGGGGACUUGAGUGCAGAAGAGGAGAGUGGAAUUCCACGUGUAGCGGUGAAAUGCGUAGAGAUGUGGAGGAACACCAGUGGCGAAGGCGACUCUCUGGUCUGUAACUGACGCUGAGGCGCGAAAGCGUGGGGAGCGAACAGG
rnacentral:rRNA from 1 species